GCAGUCCUGGGGGAGGUACAGGUCGUGCUGGUGCUUCCUCGACCUUUGGGGGGAGCGGAGGAGAAUCAAAUGGAGGCAGUGCUAUUGGAUCACCAGGUUUCCACCCAGGUGGAGGAAGUGGGAGGUUAGUGGGCAACUCGACAGGCAUGCCAGGUUUCCAUCCAGAUGGCACUACAAUAUUUGGAGUGAUGAGGCCCUGAAUAUUGGCAAGUGGGUUAGGAAGUGGGAGGUCAGUGGGCAACUCGACAGGCAUACCAGGUUUCGAUCCAGAUGGCACUAUGACAUUUGGAGGGAUGAGGCGUGGAAUUGCUGAAAGAUUGGUUAUAUCUGCUGAAGGUUCAAUGAGCGGCUCAAUAAUCUUCUCU
rnacentral:lncRNA from 1 species